rnacentral:rRNA from 1 species
GGAAUCUUGCACAAUGGAGGAAACUCUGAUGCAGCGAUGCCGCGUGAGUGAAGAAGGCCUUUGGGUUGUAAAGCUCUUUUGUAGGGGAAGAUAAUGACUGUACCCUAAGAAUAAGGUCCGGCUAACUUCGUGCCAGCAGCCGCGGUAAUACGAAGGGACCUAGCGUAGUUCGGAAUUACUGGGCGUAAAGCGCGCGUAGGCCGUUGAGUUAGUUAAUUGUGAAAUCCCAAAGCUUAACUUUGGAACUGCAAUUAAAACUGCUCGACUAGAGUUUGAUAGAGGAAAGCGGAAUACAUAGUGUAGAGGUGAAAUUCGUAGAUAUUAUGUAGAACACCAGUUGCGAAGGCGGCUUUCUGGAUCAACACUGACGCUGAGGCGCGAAAGUAUGGGUAGCAAAGAGGAUUAGAUACCCUCGUAGUCCAUACCAUAAACGAUGAUUGCUAGAUGUUGGAAACUUAUUUUCAGUAUCGCAGCUAACGCAUUAAGCAAUCCGCCUGGGGAGUACGACCGCAGGGUUAAAACUCAAAUGAAUUGACGG